rnacentral:rRNA from 1 species
UACGUAGGGGGCAAGCGUUGUCCGGAUUUAUUGGGCGUAAAGAGCGUGUAGGCGGCCGUACAGGUCAGCUGUGAAAACUCGAGGCUCAACCUCGAGACGUCGGUUGAAACCGUACGGCUAGAGUCCGGAAGAGGAGAGUGGAAUUCCCGGUGUAGCGGUGAAAUGCGUAGAUAUCGUAAGGAACACCGGUGGCGAAGGCGGCGAUCUGGGUAGAUACUGACGCUGAGGUGCGAAAGCGUGGGGAGCAAACAGG